CAGGUCAGAGCACUGUGCGAGAAGGCCAAGGAGAUCUUGAUGGAGGAGAGCAAUGUUCAGCCUGUAAGGAGUCCUGUUACAAUCUGUGGUGAUAUUCACGGGCAGUUUCACGAUCUUGCGGAACUGUUCCGAAUUGGUGGAAAGUGUCCGGAUACAAAUUACUUGUUUAUGGGAGAUUAUGUAGAUCGUGGCUACUAUUCUGUUGAAACUGUCACGCUGUUGGUGUCUUUGAAAGUUCGUUAUCCUCAGCGAAUCACCAUUCUUAGAGGAAACCAUGAAAGCCGACAGAUCACUCAAGUUUAUGGAUUCUACGACGAGUGCUUAAGGAAGUAUGGAAACGCAACUGUGUGGAAAACCUUUACGGAUCUGUUCGACUACUUCCCCUUGACAGCAUUGGUUGAGUCGGAAAUAUUUUGCUUGCACGGUGGAUUAUCACCAUCCAUUGAGACACUUGAUAACAUACGUAACUUUGACCGCACGCAAGAAGUUCCUCAUGAAGGGCCCAUGUGUGAUCUUCUGUGGUCUGAUCCCGAUGAUCGAUGCGGUUGGGGUAUUUCUCCUCGAGGCGCUGGAUAUACCUUCGGACAGGAUAUAUCAGAGCAGUUCAAUCAUACCAAUAACUUAAGACUUAUUGCUAGAGCUCACCAGUUGGUGAUGGAGGGAUUCAACUGGGCUCAUGAGCAAAAAGUGGUCACCAUAUUUAGUGCACCUAAUUAUUGCUACCGCUGUGGAAACAUGGCAUCAAUCUUGGAAGUUGAUGAUUGUCGGGAGCAUACUUUCAUCCAGUUUGAGCCGGCCCCGAGAAGGGGAGAGCCAGACGUAACUCGUAGAACGCCAGACUAUUUCCUGUGA
rnacentral:rRNA from 1 species